AUGUCAGAGCCUUCUCUUGGAUCAGGAGACAAUCAAAAUGACAUAGUAGUUGAUGUCAAUGGCAAAGAGAGGGCAAAGAAAGGAGGGAAAAGGAAAAAGGCAGGAGUGGAUGGUACUAAGGUGAAGGUGAAGAAAACGAGACUUAAACGUGCAGAAUGUUGGCAGCAUUUCAAGGAGGUCAAGGCUGUAAGCAAGAGGACGCAAGGGGCGGUUGUCACGAAGGCAAAGUGUUUGCAUUGUGCUAAAUUGUUUGCUUAUACUCCUGGGGGGUCAACUACUAGCCUCAAUAGGCAUAAAGAUGUUUGUUCAGUCUAUCUAAACAAGAAGGGAAGACAGCUAAAUCAAGGUACAAUCAACUUCGAUCCUGAAAAGCCAGGUGCAUCUCUCAUAGUAAACCAUGAAUACAAUCAUGCGGAAGCCGUUAAGAUCAUAGCAAAGAUGAUAAUUGUGCAUGAUUAUCCUUUUAGGAUGGUAGAUCAUGCUUGGUUCAAUAUCCUCAUGAAGUAUAUGAAUGCAUCCUACAAGUUCAUUGGUCGGUAGAAAAUUAGAGCUGAAUGCAUGAAGGUGUAUCUUUCCGAGAAAGAUAUCCUUGAAAAGCAACUAAAGUCUGUUGAAAGAAUUAGUUUGACAUGUGAUCUAUGGACUUCAAAUCAAACUCUCUCAUACCUAGCUGUGGUCGCUCACUACAUAGAUGAUGAUUGGAUCAUGCAAUGUCGUGUUUUAAACUUCAUAGAGCUAGAUCCACCACACUCGAGUAGUGUCAUAGCUCAAGCAGUUUUUGAGUGUUGCCAAGAAUGGAAAAUAGAAGAUAAGAUCAUGACAAUCACUAUGGAUAAUGCUUCCUCAAAUGAUAAUGCUUCUAAGAGGUUGAUGGACAAGAUCAUUGCUCGGAAAUCGGCUAAAUUUAUUCCUAAGUACUUCCAUGUUCGCUGUUGUGCACACAUUGUCAAUUUGAUAGUGAAUGAUGGCAUUGCUCUAUUGCAAACUUUGAUCAAUAAGCUUAGGGAUACUGUCAAGUAUUUGAAAAAAAUCUCCAACACACAUGUACAAAUUGUUGAUGGUUUGCAAGUCUCUGAAUAUGGAAAUUGGGAGAGGUUUAUGCCUGGAUGUUGCUACUAG
rnacentral:rRNA from 1 species